UAAACUGGAGAGUUUGAUCCUGGCUCAGGACGAACGCUGGCGGCGUGCCUAACACAUGCAAGUCGAACGGCCCAGCACUCAAGCUUGCUUGGGUGCUG
rnacentral:rRNA from 1 species